ACAUGCAAGUCGAGGGGUAACAUUGGUGCUUGCACCAGAUGACGACCGGCGCACGGGUGCGUAACGCGUAUACAAUCUGCCUUGUACUGGGGGAUAGCCUUUAGAAAUGAAGAUUAAGACCCCAUAGUAUUAUAGAUUCGCAUGAUGAAAUAAUUAAAGGUUACGGUACAAGAUGAGUAUGCGUCCUAUUAGCUAGAUGGAGUGGUAACGGCACCCCAUGGCGACGAUAGGUAGGGGCCCUGAGAGGGGGAUCCCCCACACUGGUACUGAGACACGGACCAGACUCCUACGGGAGGCAGCAGUGAGGAAUAUUGGACAAUGGGGGCAACCCUGAUCCAGCCAUGCCGCGUGCAGGAAGACUGCCCUAUGGGUUGUAAACUGCUUUUAUACGGGAAGAAACACCGCUACGUGUAGCGGCUUGACGGUACCGUAAGAAUAAGGAUCGGCUAACUCCGUGCCAGCAGCCGCGGUAAUACGGAGGAUCCAAGCGUUAUCCGGAAUCAUUGGGUUUAAAGGGUCCGUAGGUGGGCUGGUCAGUCAGAGGUGAAAUCCCACGGCUCAACCGUGGAACUGCCUUUGAUACUGCUAGUCUUGAGUUAUUAUGAAGUAGUUAGAAUAUGUAGUGUAGCGGUGAAAUGCAUAGAUAUUACAUAGAAUACCAAUUGCGAAGGCAGAUUACUAAUAAUAUACUGACACUGAUGGACGAAAGCGUAGGUAGCGAACGGGAUUAGAUACCCCGGUAGUCUACGCCGUAAACGAUGGAUACUAGCUGUCCGGCUUCGGCUGGGGUGGCUAAGCGAAAGUGAUAAGUAUCCCACCUGGGGAGUACGUUUCGCAAGAAUGAAACUCAAAGGAAUUGACGGGGGCCCCGCACAAGCGGUGGAGCAUGUGGUUUAAUUCGAUGAUACGCGAGGGACCCUUACCAGGGGCUUAAAUGUAAGUUGCAUUAGCUGG
rnacentral:rRNA from 1 species